rnacentral:misc_RNA from 1 species
CACGGCAGAGCUUGAUACUGGAACU